GGCCGUUCAGCCUCGGGAUUUACACUCGGCUCGACACGGAUAUGUGAAGAAUGAAGGGACCCUGCAGCUAAACGGAGAGCCCAACCUCUGACUGAGUGCCUGUUUACGCAGUCUGACCACCUGUUGAAGGCUUUCCUCAGAUGAUUCGGGGGUACAGAGGAAAGGAGAACCUUGUUGUGGUUCAAAUGCAGAUGGCAUUUCACAUGCGAGAUCUUGGGAAUCAGGCAUGGAGGUGCUUCAGAAUGGGGACAUCAGUGCACAACCAGGAUAUGGAGAUGUACUGCACAUAGACCUUUUGGACUACGCCAAGCAAUUAAUCUGCGAGAGGAAGAGUCUUCACUGGUACCAAACCAGGAAUUCAGAGACAUGUGCCAGCACUUCGCUCUCGCUCUGCAGGCCUACUUGUUGUUCCUAGAGUAUUUAAAAGUAGAAUGGGAGGGAGAGCCUUCAGUUUUCAGGCCCCUCUUCUGUGGAACCAGCUUCCAGUUUGGAUUCGGGAGACAGACACUAUCUCUACUUUCAAGAUUAGGCUUAAAACUUUCCUUUUUGCUAAAGCAUAUAGUUAGGGCUGGACCAGGUGACCCUGAAUCCUCCCUUAGUUAUGCUGCAAUAGACGUAGGCUGCCGGGGAUUCCCAUGAUGCAUUGAGUUUUUCCUUUCCAGCCACUCACUAUGUGUUAAUAGACCUCUCUGCAUCGAAUCAUAUCUGUUAUUAAUUUCUGUCUCUCUUCCACAGCAUGUCUUUCAUCCUGUUUUCCUUCUUCACCCCAACCGGUCGCAGCAGAUGGCCGCCCCUCCCUGAGCCUGGUUCUGCCGGAGGUUUCUUCCUGUUAAAAGGGAGUUUUUCCUUCCCACUGUCGCCAAAGUGCUUGCUCAUAGGGGGUCAUAUGAUAUGAUUGUUGGGGUUUUCUCUGUAUUUAUUAUUGUGCGAUCUAUUGUACAAUAUAAAGCGCCUUGAGGCGACUUUUGUUGUGAUUUGGCGCUAUAUAAAUAAAAUUGAAUUGAAUUGAAUUGAAUUGAACAUUUUAGAAA
ensembl:lncRNA